CAGCCGCCGCGGUAAUACGUAGGGUGCAAGCGUUAUCCGGAUUUAUUGGGUUUAAAGGGUCCGUAGGCGGACUUAUAAGUCAGUGGUGAAAGCCUGUCGCUUAACGAUAGAACUGCCAUUGAUACUGUAAGUCUUGAGUAUAUUUGAGGUAGCUGGAAUAAGUAGUGUAGCGGUGAAAUGCAUAGAUAUUACUUAGAACACCAAUUGCGAAGGCAGGUUACCAAGAUAUAACUGACGCUGAGGGACGAAAGCGUGGGUAGCGAACAGGAUUAGAUACCCCAGUAGUCCCUGUCUCUUAUAC
rnacentral:rRNA from 1 species